rnacentral:rRNA from 1 species
GACGAACGCUGGCGGCGUGCCUAAUACAUGCAAGUCGAGCGAAGUUUUUCUGGUGCUUGCACUAGAAAAACUUAGCGGCGAACGGGUGAGUAACACGUAAAGAACCUGCCUCAUAGACUGGGACAACUAUUGGAAACGAUAGCUAAUACCGGAUAACAGUAUUUCUCGCAUGAGAGAUAUUUAAAAGUUGGUUAUGCUAACACUAUGAGAUGGCUUUGCGGUGCAUUAGCUAGUUGGUGGGGUAAAGGCCCACCAAGGCGACGAUGCAUAGCCGACCUGAGAGGGUGAUCGGCCACACUGGGACUGAGACACGGCCCAGACUCCUACGGGAGGCAGCAGUAGGGAAUCUUCCGCAAUGGGCGAAAGCCUGACGGAGCAACGCCGCGUGAGUGAAGAAGGACUUCGGUUCGUAAAGCUCUGUUGUUAGGGAAGAAUGGAUAUGUAGUAACUAUACAUGUAAGAGACGGUACCUAACCAGAAAGCCACGGCUAACUACGUG